rnacentral:misc_RNA from 1 species
UCCGGUUUGACACCGGCAGUCUCCCUAGAGUUCCCGGCAUGACCCGCUGGUAACUAGGGACAAGGGUUGCGCUCGUUGCGGGACUUAACCCAACAUCUCACGACACGAGCUAACGACAGCCAUGCAGCACCUGUGCAUGUGUCCCGAAGGAGGCCCUAGGUUUCCCUAGGGUUUCACGUGCAUGUCGAGUCCAGGUAAGGUUCUUCGCGUUGCUUCGAAUUAAACCACAUGCUCCACCGCUUGUGCGGGCCCCCGUCAAUUUCUUUGAGUUUCAGCCUUGCGGCCGUACUCCCCAGGCGGGAGACUUAACGCGUUAGCUCCGACACCGAAGGGCUCGAUCCCCCCGGCAUCUAGUCUCCAUCGUUUACGGCGUGGACUAC